rnacentral:lncRNA from 1 species
ACACCCCAACACACACACGCACAACUCACGCACCCUCCUCACUCCCUCUCUCUCAGCCGUUCACCCCGCCCUUUAUGCGCCCUCCUGCAGCCGCCACCGGACGGCAGCGCCGUCCCCGGAGCCCGGCGGCUCCGCUUCCUCUCUCCCUCCCUUCAACCUCUCUUCUCUCAUCUCUCGUUCUCACUCUCUCUGUCCCUUCCUCGCUGCGCCCAGCUGCAGCCGCGCCACCACUCCGUCCUCAUCUCCUGCUCGCCGACAACAGCAGCCGCCGCCAUCGCCGCCCUCGCGUGGACAGCAGCGCCGCUCAGUCAUUUCUUCUCUCUGUCGCGACCGGAUAGCAGCGGCCGACAAGAUAGCGCCGCCGCCGCCCCUGCUUCUCUCUGCCGCCGCCUCUACACAUGCAGCGGCGUCGUUGCUCCGGCGAGCAAUCCCUCCCCCAAAAAUCAUUCCAAAAUCCCCUUUAUCCAUCUAGGUUUCUAAAUCUGAGUUUCUUUCUUGUAAAAUUCAGUGAAUAUGCAU